UACGGGAGGCAGCAGUGGGGAAUAUUGCACAAUGGGCGCAAGCCUGAUGCAGCCAUGCCGCGUGUAUGAAGAAGGCCUUCGGGUUGUAAAGUACUUUCAGUCGUGAGGAAGGUGUUAAGGUUAAUAACCUUAGCAAUUGACGUUAGCGACAGAAGAAGCACCGGCUAACUCCGUGCCAGCAGCCGCGGUAAUACGGAGGGUGCGAGCGUUAAUCGGAAUUACUGGGCGUAAAGGGCACGCAGGCGGUUAAUUAAGUUGGAUGUGAAAUCCCCGGGCUUAACCUGGGAAUGGCAUUCAAGACUGGUUAGCUAGAGUCUUGUAGAGGGGGUAGAAUUCCAUGUGUAGCGGUGAAAUGCGUAGAGAUGUGGAGGAAUACCGGGUGGCGAAGGCGGCCCCUGGGACAAAGACUGACGCUCAUGUGCGAAAGCGUGGGGAGCGAAACAGGAUUAGAUACC
rnacentral:rRNA from 1 species